CAGGGAGCUUGCAGAUAGAUGACAGGUUUUCCACAGAUAAAAUUACAAGCAUGAUCACAUGCUGGUAAAAAGGUACAAAAGAAAUGAACUUAUUACAGAUGCAGGAAUAAAAUAAAACCACACGUUGGUAAGUUUACGAAAUAAACAAAGUAACAAGUGCAAACAAAUCAAUCAAUUCAAUUAUAUACUGCAGGCACUAAUUAUUGUUAUUGCUAUAUAUGAGAAAUACUGUGAUUUUAUCUCAGGAAGGUAUGACGAUGAUGAUGGAUUGAUGGGAAUGACCGAAUGAGAGUGUCAUGGGCAGGGCCCUCCGCUGUUAUUGGGGUUCCAGGUGCAGCUAGAAUGCCCCGCUGACGCCUUGCUCACCACGGCUAACUUCACCGACGCCAGAAGGCCGCCGUUGGAGCUGUGCUGCCCUCCUGCUGCCGAUGGGGCGACGGCCGUCCCUUUCAGAGGCCUCGAUGCACGGGCGCCGUCCGAUGCCGACACCACAAGGACCACGACGACCAGCAGCUUCACCCACUGCCCUAGCUUCCCAACGCCUGCCAUAAUCGAGCUCAGCUGGUCCUCGCUGUGCAACAGGCAGGAUCGCCAGGAAAUAAAGAAACAAUUAACUAAGACUUGUUUGUAGCUAGCUAGUUCUGUAAUGGAGAGCGUGAUCGACCUGUUUGC
rnacentral:lncRNA from 1 species